CAAUUAGCGGGAUUAUUGUUAUCCCAUAAUUUUCUCUCUCCCCACAAAGUUUUGCCGUUUCUUCUCUGUUGGCCUAAUUCCAUAAUUUUCUCACAGAUGCGAGCGCGGAUCGCAGCCGCCGCCGCCCGCCCCUCCUCCUCUACUUCCCCAUGGGUGCGAACAAAUGGAGCCAACCACCUGAACUGACUGGAGCGGCGAGUGGCGGAGGAAGGGAGAGAGCGGUGGAGGAAGGGAGAGAUGGCAUCGGCAGCGGCGGGGGAGAGGAGAGGGGUCCCGGCGGGAUGCAUCUGGAAAGACCCCGAGGUCCGAGGGUCAUUUCCGCCACCACGCGCGCCGUUGCCGCCGCGUGCCUCCGCCAGAUCCUCGCCGUCUACGCCUCCUUCGCCGACCUCGCCGCGCAGCACUCCGCCCGUCCGCCGGCCGCUGGACUCCGUCAAAGGGCCGACCACGUGAUGCCAGAUUCAAGAUUGCUUGGUAAUGGAUAAGAUCAGCCCGUGUGGCCAGCAGCAUAGUUAGGCCAAUCCAUUGUUAGAAGGGAGCACCUGAAACUCAUCUAGCUGAGACAUAACUAUGGUCUCAUUCACGGAUGAUGUCCUGUUCUAAUGUUGGGUGGUGUUUUUUUGUCACAUGAGGUGGAGUUCGUGCUUGUAACAUCAGUAGAAUGUGGACUACUAGGAGCACUCAGUGGCAGAUUGCUAUCAUGACAUAUAUUUUGUACAAUUGAAGUUGCUUGAAAGGCACACCAAAAUACUGAUGUAGUUUAUCUACCUUCUACGUCCUUCUAGAGGUACCAAUGAUGAAAUGUUUUCUGCAGGUCUCAAGCAUGGUUUCUUUCUGAUUGCGAGGAUUUUUACAAAGAGGAUGUUUGAGAAGGUAAUCAAAUAACUAUACAUGUUUUCUAAGCAUCUAAGAGGAUUUCGUGUUCAGUUUCGUGCUCGAAUUUUAGAGCCCAAAUGUAGAGAUGCAUAGCUUGAUUCUAGAAGUAAGGGUGGCCUCGUUUGAUAUACCUGGGUUGUGAAGAGGUGAUCGUGUGGCUGAAGAAUGAUGUGAAUGAUUGGAAGUGCUCCAACCAGGAAACAUUCGGGUGGUGCCUGCAUUGGACACAAUGUAUUUUAGGAUGAGACCAUUCAUGUGGAACUUUUUAGUGAGCAAAUAAAGACCGAGCAAAACUAUGGGUUGUAUUUGUUGUUGUGCUAAAGAGACUGUCAGAGUGCAUUGUUGAGCUCUGAAAUUUAUCAAGUUUGUGUCAGCUGUGGUAGAAGGCCAGGGUGCAGAAUUUGUGAGGUGUUAUAUACACAAACCAAUACAUUCUUGUUUCGGAGGAGUUGUUUGCUUUCCUGGUGCCAAGGCACUUUGGAAUGCCUGGGUGCCAUUGAAUUGCAAGAUUUUCAUUUGCUUGGCUUCGCAGUAUCGAGUAUGGACAUCAGAUCGUCAGAUCAGAAGAGGACCGCAGGACCAUAUUUUGCCUCGUUUUCUCUGAGCAGGAAGAGGACAUUAUCGAUCUCAUCCUUCUUCAGUGCAUAUAUGCUCGAUAGCUAUGGCAUCAUUGUCUUCGAUCGACUCAUCUUGAUGUUGUCCCUGCUCCUUCUGUCAUCGAUAAUCUUCAGCUUUGGUGGGGAGAUCUCGCCAGUUCAUUCCCAAAGCUAAACGAUGUGGUUUUUAUUCUCUUGUGAUGUUUGUGUGCUAGAGCCUAUGGAAGCAACACAGUGCUAGGUUGUUCAAUAAUGCUCAGCUUCAAGUCAACAAGGAAACGUUCUGUGUUCUCAUUCUUUCUGACCUAAUUGCGAGAGGGAAGAGGAUGUCUGGAUUAUGUGAGUAGUCCAUUGUAAUAUGUGUUGGUGGUGGAGUGUGGAUGUCGUCCCCCUUUGGGGUGCUCUUGUUACUUGUGUUCUCUUGUGCUUGAUUUAAUGUAUACAUCACCUGAGACAUGCCUUGUGUGCAUGAUUACUAAUUAUGUACUCAUGUUCAUCUGA